rnacentral:rRNA from 1 species
GGCCUUGCGCUCUUUGAGCGGCCGAUGUCAGAUUAGCUAGUUGGUGAGGUAAAGGCUUACCAAGGCGACGAUCUGUAGCGGGUCUGAGAGGAUGAUCCGCCACACUGGAAUUGAGACACGGUCCAGACUCCUACGGGAGGCAGCAGUGGGGAAUUUUGGACAAUGGGGGCAACCCUGAUCCAGCCAUGCCGCGUGAGUGAAGAAGGCCUUCGGGUUGUAAAGCUCUUUCGGCCGGGAAGAAAUCGCAUGGGCCAAUACCCUGUGUGGAUGACGGUACCGGAAUAAGAAGCACCGGCUAACUACGUGCCAGCAGCCGCGGUAAUACGUAGGGUGCGUGCGUUAAUCGGAAUUACUGGGCGUAAAGCGUGCGCAGGCGGUUUUGUAAGACAGGCGUGAAAUCCCCGGGCUUAACCUGGGAACUGCGUUUGUGACUGCAAGGCUAGAGUACGGCAGAGGGGGGUGGAAUUCCACGUGUAGCAGUGAAAUGCGUAGAGAUGUGGAGGAACACCAAUGGCGAAGGCAGCCCCCUGGGUCGAUACUGACGCUCAUGCACGAAAGCGUGGGUAGCAAACAGGAUUAGAUACCCUGGUAGUCCACGCCCUAAACUAUGUCAACUAGGUGUUGGGUGGGUAAAACCAUUUAGUACCGUAGCUAACGCGUGAAGUUGACCGCCUGGGGAGUACGGCCGCAAGGUUAAAACUCAAAGGAAUUGACGGGGACCCGCACAAGCGGUGGAUGAUGUGGAUUAAUUCGAUGCAACGCGAAAAACCUUACCUACCCUUGACAUGCCAGGAACUUGCCAGAGAUGGCUUGGUGCCCGAAAGGGAGCCUGGACACAGGUGCUGCGUGGCUGUCGUCAGCUCGUGUCGUGAGAUGUUGGGUUAAGUCCCGCAACGAGCGCAACCCUUGUCGUUAAUUGCCGUCAUUUAGUUGGGCACUUUAACGAGACUGCCGGUGACAAACCGGAGGAAGGUGGGGAUGACGUCAAGUCCUCAUGGCCCUUAUGGGUAGGGCUUCACACGUCAUACAAUGGUCGGUACAAAGGGUUGCCAAGCCGCGAGGCGGAGCCAAUCCCAGAAAGCCGAUCGUAGUCCGGAUUGCAGGCUGCAACUCGCCUGCAUGAAGUCGGAAUCGCUAGUAAUCGUGGAUCAGCAUGUCACGGUGAAUACGUUCCCGGGUCUUGUACACACCGCCCGUCACACCAUGGGAGCGGGUUCCGCCAGAAGUAGGUAGCCUAACCGCAAGGGGGGCGCUUACC